CGGUUCUCGUCCGAUCACCGAAGUUAAGCAACGUCGAGCUCGGUUAGUACUUGGAUGGGUGACCGCCUGGGAAUACCGGGUGUUGUAG
rnacentral:rRNA from 1 species